AUUGAACGCUGGCGGCAUGCUUUACACAUGCAAGUCGAACGGUAACAGGCCGCAAGGUGCUGACGAGUGGCGAACGGGUGAGUAAUGCAUCGGAACGUGCCCAGUCGUGGGGGAUAACGCAGCGAAAGCUGUGCUAAUACCGCAUACGAUCUAUGGAUGAAAGCGGGGGACCGUAAGGCCUCGCGCGAUUGGAGCGGCCGAUGUCAGAUUAGGUAGUUGGUGGGGUAAAGGCUCACCAAGCCAACGAUCUGUAGCAGGUCUGAGAGGACGACCAGCCACACUGGGACUGAGACACGGCCCAGAAUCCUACGGGAGUCAGCAGUGGGGAAUUUUGGACAAUGGGCGCAAGCCUGAUCCAGCAAUGCCGCGUGCAGGAAGAAGGCCUUCGGGUUGUAAACUGCUUUUGUACGGAACGAAAAGGUUUGGGUUAAUACCCUGGGCCGAUGACGGUACCGUAAGAAUAAGCACCGGCUAACUACGUGCCAGCCGCCGCCGUAA
rnacentral:rRNA from 1 species